rnacentral:rRNA from 1 species
GACGUAGGGUGCAAGCGUUGUCCGGAUUUACUGGGCGUAAAGCGCGCGUAGGCGGCUCGUUAAGUGUGAAGUGAAAUCCCUGGGCUCAACUCAGGAACUGCUUUACAUACUGGCGAGCUUGAGGGAUGCAGAGGUCUGUGGAAUUCCUGGUGUAACGGUGAAAUGUGUUGAUAUCAGGAGGAACACCCAUGGCGAAGGCAGCAGACUGGGCAUCGCCUGACGCUGAGGUGCGAAAGCGUGGGGAGCAAACAGG